GUUUGGCGGGUCACCGGACACAAUUUUUAAACAAGAUACCCUAAUGAUAAUUUAGGCCAAGUUAAAUUAAAUUUGGCCCAGUAGUUUCAGAGGAGAAGAUUUUUGUAAAAGAAUACUAAAAUUUAUGAAAAAUGGUUAAAAAUUGACUAUAAAGGGCAAUAACUCCUAAAGGGGUCAACUGACCAAUUCAGUCAUGCAGACUUAUUUGUAAAUCUU
rnacentral:lncRNA from 1 species